UGGGGAAUAUUGCACAAUGGGCGCAAGCCUGAUGCAGCCAUGCCGCGUGUGUGAAGAAGGCCUUCGGGUUGUAAAGCACUUUCAGCGAGGAGGAAGGUGGUGAGCUUAAUACGCUCAUCAAUUGACGUUACUCGCAGAAGAAGCACCGGCUAACUCCGUGCCAGCAGCCGCGGUAAUACGGAGGGUGCAAGCGUUAAUCGGAAUUACUGGGCGUAAAGCGCACGCAGGCGGUUUGUUAAGUCAGAUGUGAAAUCCCCGGGCUCAACCUGGGAACCGCAUUUGAAACUGGCAAGCUAGAGUCUCGUAGAGGGGGGUAGAAUUCCAGGUGUAGCGGUGAAAUGCGUAGAGAUCUGGAGGAAUACCGGUGGCGAAGGCGGCCCCCCUGGACGAAGACUGACGCUCAGGUGCGAAAGCGUGGGGCAGCAAACAGGAUUAGAUACCCUGGUAGUCCAGCGCUGUAAACGAUGUCGAUUUGGAGGUUGUGCCCCUUGAGGCGUGGCUUCCGGAGCUAACGCGUUAAAUCGACCGCCU
rnacentral:rRNA from 1 species